rnacentral:rRNA from 1 species
AUGGAGCCGGAUCUGGACAUGGCGGCCCUGAGAAAGAAGCUAGAGGAUGAGGUGCUCGGCACCUGGCUGUGGGACAGGGAGCUGGACUCCAUCCUGCAGGAACAGCAAGAGCGAGACGACGAAGGCGAUUACGAGUACUACGAAUCAGACCAAGAAGAAGAGGAGCUCCACUAUGGUGGUUCUUGGGGAUACGGGUAUACCUUCUACUACGAGGACGGGAACCCUUAUUACGUCGCCGACAUGGAGGAGAGGUGGGAGAAUCAGAUGCGGUGUCCGCCGACCAGGUCCUGCGCCAAGAGAUCAAGGGGGAUCUGGGAGGGGUCUCUUCAGGUCGAGGGCCCGUGUCAGCUCGAUCCAACACUGUUAUCUGCUCAAAGCUUGCUGCCUCUAUUGCCAAGAUGGGAAAACCGUUGGGUCGACAAAAGGGAGAAUGAACCUUGUCGACGGGCCAUCCAAGUGUUUAGUUUGAAUUUAUCGUCUCCUCACGAUGCCACCUUAGAGGUCUACGGCAUGUUUGCAUUCCGAGAUGUACGAAACAACCAACUACGCAACUAUGUCUUUGAAUACUCUAGAGACAAACCAUGUAAGCUUAAGCCGGGCUCUUGUAAGCUUCAACCUCUACUUUACCCACAUCAAGGCAUCUAUGCGGUUGGGCUUGUGCUAAUUGAAUACCGUUUGCUAAUUUAA